UGGUUAUUUGUAAUAUCCUGUAUGUGUCUGGAGUACUUUGAUGCCUUGGAUUGGAAGCUAACUUAAAAGAUGAACUUUUGAGGGUGUGUUUUCUAUUGUGUGGGGCUUUUGUCGAAAUUAGGAUUCCGAAACACGUUUUUCUACGGUGGGUUCAUUCGACAGCGAUUUACUUUCUUAGAAGUUGCGAGACGGUAUGUUUUUGAUUGCAAUUAUUGGAAGAUGACAGAUCCAUCUUUAAAAUGAUACCAGGUUCGGAAAAAUUGAUACGUCGAAAAGGCAAGAAAAAUGCUGUGAAAGUUGUCAGUUUUAUAAUGGGACCCUAUGGGAAUCGGAAUUAGUGUAAUAUAACCUUUAAAAAGCACAUUUACUGCAAUGUCAAGGUCACAUGGAUUCGUCUGCAAGCGAGACAAGUAGAACAUGAAUUUUAAUUAAUGUUUUGAUGAUUUGGGUGCUAAAAUAGAUGAGAGGUGUCAAUAUUUUGGUCCAAAUGGAUGUUUUAGGUGGUUUUAGACGGUUCCGUAUGGGUGGGGGACCUGGUAUUGACAAGUAAGGGUAACAUUUCCAACAAAUCUUAAAUGUAAAUAUUAUUAUGUCCAUAGAUUGAAGUUUCAGGUGGAGAGUAAGAUGAAAAAUAUGCAAAAUUACAUGCAUGCAACCCAUUUAUGCCAUUUUUCUCUUUGUUUGUAGGCCUGACCGUUUGUCCUUGAGCCGUAGAUGGUCAACAAUCCGCUAGCUGUCUUGCUCUGACUGGUGCACUGGACAUGAUUUCAAUAGUCAGCCAGACCAUGAUUGAGCUUAAGGAUUGUGCUGCGGAUGCAGCCUGUGCAGUUCCGGGAGAAAGUCACUGUCUCGGGCAAUGCGGUCUGGUAUCAGGUCUGGAUGAUCCUUGCCUGACUGCGGGUUUGUGUACACCUCAAUCCGACUCUGUGUCCUGAACAGAGGCCGCAGUGGUGCAGCGCUUGUGGACGAUCCAUCAACAUCCUGAAAGGUCAACACUACACUAAGCUGGGAAAAUUGAUCCUGAUAGUCAUCCCCAGGCCUGACCGUUUGUCCUUGAGCCGUAGAUGGUCAACAAUCCGCUAGCUGUCUUGCUCUGACUGGUGCACUGGACAUGAUUUCAAUAGUCAGCCAGACCAUGAUUGAGCUUAAGGAUUGUGCUGCGGAUGCAGCCUGUGCAGUUCCGGGAGAAAGUCACUGUCUCGGGCAAUGCGGUCUGGUAUCAGGUCUGGAUGAUCCUUGCCUGACUGCGGGUUUGUGUACACCUCAAUCCGACUCUGUGUCCUGAACAGAGGCCGCAGUGGUGCAGCGCUUGUGGACGAUCCAUCAACAUCCUGAAAGGUCAACACUACACUAAGCUGGGAAAAUUGAUCCUGAUAGUCAUCCCCAGGCCUGACCGUUUGUCCUUGAGCCGUAGAUGGUCAACAAUCCGCUAGCUGUCUUGCUCUGACUGGUGCACUGGACAUGAUUUCAAUAGUCAGCCAGACCAUGAUUGAGCUUAAGGAUUGUGCUGCGGAUGCAGCCUGUGCAGUUCCGGGAGAAAGUCACUGUCUCGGGCAAUGCGGUCUGGUAUCAGGUCUGGAUGAUCCUUGCCUGACUGCGGGUUUGUGUACACCUCAAUCCGACUCUGUGUCCUGAACAGAGGCCGCAGUGGUGCAGCGCUUGUGGACGAUCCAUCAACAUCCUGAAAGGUCAACACUACACUAAGCUGGGAAAAUUGAUCCUGAUAGUCAUCCCAGGUAGUGGAAUGAAUGUUCACUGAACUACAGAGGAAUCACACCCAAAUGACUUUCCUGCCACGACAUUAGUGUGGCCACUCGCGUAGGAAUUCCUUAGCAAACAUGCUCUUUUGCAUGGUGACUGUGGACAUUUUUGCAAAACUUAUGCUUUCAACACUGGAUUUUAAAGAGAAUACUUAAUAAAAUGUCGCUAACAGGACUUAUUUAUAUGAGAGAGACUAUCUGGAUGCGCAUUAAGUGUCACUUUGUGUCGUAAGCUGUUGAAGGAGCGAUUUGCGCCUUUUUAAGUGUUAAUUUUGGGUAGCCGGCUUGUAUCAGCUUGAAAGCUGAAAAUUAUGCCUCUCAUCAUAAUAGCAUUAAUUUUUGUAAUUGCAAUGUGUAUGUUUAGAUUGUAAGUGAAGCUUUUAAUAAUAAUUUUCU